rnacentral:rRNA from 1 species
UGUGGGUAGCGGAGAAAUUCCAAUCGAACUUGGAGAUAGCUGGUUCUCUCCGAAAUAGCUUUAGGGCUAGCCUCAAGUGAUGAUUAUUGGAGGUAGAGCACUGUUUGGACGAGGGGCCCCUCUCGGGUUACCGAAUUCAGACAAACUCCGAAUGCCAAAUAAUUUAACUUGGGAGUCAGACUAUGGGUGAUAAGGUCCGUAGUCGAAAGGGAAACAGCCCAGACCACCAGCUAAGGUCCCAAAAUAUAUGUUAAGUGGAAAAGGAUGUGGCGUUGCCCAGACAACUAGGAUGUUGGCUUAGAAGCAGCCAUCAUUUAAAGAGUGCGUAAUAGCUCACUAGUCGAGUGACACUGCGCCGAAAAUGUACCGGGGCUAAACAUAUUACCGAAGCUGUGGAUUAUCCGUAAGGAUAAUGGUAGGAGAGCGUUCUAAACGUGUCGAAGCAUGAUCGUAAGGACAUGUGGAAUGUUUAGAAGUGAGAAUGCCGGUGUGAGUAGCGAAAGAUGGGUGAGAAUCCCAUCCACCGAUUGACUAAGGUUUCCAGAGGAAGGCUCGUCCGCUCUGGGUUAGUCGGGACCUAAGCCGAGGCCGAUAGGCGUAGGCGAUGGAUAACAGGUAGAUAUUCCUGUACCACCUAUGAUUGUUUGAACGAUGGGGGGACGCAGUAGGAUAGGCGAAGCGUGCUGUUGGAGUGCACGUCCAAGCAAUAAGACUGAGUGUUAGGCAAAUCCGGCACUCGUAAGGUUGAGUUGUGAUGGGGAGUUGGAUCAUGUAUCCGACGAGUCGUUGAUUUCACACUGCCAAGAAAAGCCUCUAGUUAGAAAAUAGGUGCCCGUACCGCAAACCGACACAGGUAGUCAAGAUGAGAAUUCUAAGGUGAGCGAGCGAACUCUCGUUAAGGAACUCGGCAAAAUGACCCCGUAACUUCGGGAGAAGGGGUGCUUUUUAGGGUGCAAGCCUUGAAGAGCCGCAGUGAAUAGGCCCAAGCGACUGUUUAUCAAAAACACAGGUCUCUGCUAAACCGUAAGGUGAUGUAUAGGGGCUGACGCCUGCCCGGUGCUGGAAGGUUAAGAGGAGUGGUUAGCUUCUGCGAAGCUACGAAUCGAAGCCCCAGUAAACGGCGGCCGUAACUAUAACGGUCCUAAGGUAGCGAAAUUCCUUGUCGGGUAAGUUCCGACCCGCACGAAAGGCGUAACGAUUUGGGCACUGUCUCAACGAGAGACUCGGUGAAAUCAUAGUACCUGUGAAGAUGCAGGUUACCCGCGACAGGACGGAAAGACCCCGUGGAGCUUUACUGUAGCCUGAUAUUGAAAUUUGGCACAGCUUGUACAGGAUAGGUAGGAGCCUUUGAAACGUGAGCGCUAGCUUACGUGGAGGCGCUGGUGGGAUACUACCCUGGCUGUGUUGACUUUCUAACCCGCACCAUUUGAUCAUGGUGGGAGACAGUGUCAGGCGGGCAGUUUGACUGGGGCGGUCGCCUCCUAAAGAGUAACGGAGGCGCUCAAAGGUUCCCUCAGAAUGGUUGGAAAUCAUUCGCAGAGUGUAAAGGCACAAGGGAGCUUGACUGCGAGACCUACAAGUCGAGCAGGGUCGAAAGACGGACUUAGUGAUCCGGUGGUUCCGCAUGGAAGGGCCAUCGCUCAACGGAUAAAAGCUACCCCGGGGAUAACAGGCUUAUCUCCCCCAAGAGUUCACAUCGACGGGGAGGUUUGGCACCUCGAUGUCGGCUCAUCGCAUCCUGGGGCUGUAGUCGGUCCCAAGGGUUGGGCUGUUCGCCCAUUAAAGCGGUACGCGAGCUGGGUUCAGAACGUCGUGAGACAGUUCGGUCCCUAUCCGUCGUGGGCGUAGGAAAUUUGAGAGGAGCUGUCCUUAGUACGAGAGGACCGGGAUGGACAUACCUCUGGUGUACCAGUUGUCGCGCCAGCGGCAUAGCUGGGUAGCUAUGUAUGGACGGGAUAAGUGCUGAAAGCAUCUAAGCAUGAAGCCCCCCUCAAGAUGAGAUUUCCCAACUUCGGUUAUAAGAUCCCUCAAAGAUGAUGAGGUUAAUAGGUUCGGGGUG